AUUGAACGCUGGCGGCAUGCUUUACACAUGCAAGUCGAACGGCAGCGCGGGCUUCGGCCUGGCGGCGAGUGGCGAACGGGUGAGUAAUACAUCGGAACGUGCCCAGUAGUGGGGGAUAGCUCGGCGAAAGCCGGAUUAAUACCGCAUACGACCUGAGGGUGGAAGCGGGGGAUCUUCGGACCUCGCGCUAUUGGAGCGGCCGAUGGCAGAUUAGCUAGUUGGUGGGGUAAAGGCCUACCAAGGCGACGAUCUGUAGCUGGUCUGAGAGGACGACCAGCCACACUGGGACUGAGACACGGCCCAGACUCCUACGGGAGGCAGCAGUGGGGAAUUUUGGACAAUGGGCGAAAGCCUGAUCCAGCAAUGCCGCGUGUGUGAUGAAGGCCUUCGGGUUGUAAAGCACUUUUGGCGGGAACGAAAAGGACUGUGCCAAUACCACGGUUCGAUGACGGUACCCGCAGAAUAAGCACCGGCUAGCUACGUG
rnacentral:rRNA from 1 species